AUUGCCCCAGUAACGGCGAGUGAAGCGGCAGGAGCUCAAAUUUGAAAUCUGGGGUCCACGACCCCCGAGUUGUAAUUUGGAGAGGCAUCUUCGGGGGGGAGCGCCGGCCCAUGUUCCUUGGAACAGGACGUCGCAGAGGGUGAGAAUCCCGUGCCAGGCCGGCUCCCUCCUCCCGCGUGAAGGGCCUUCGACGAGUCGAGUUGUUUGGGAAUGCAGCUCCAAGCGGGUGGUAAGUUUCAUCUAAAGCUAAAUACCGGCGGGAGACCGAUAGCGCACAAGUAGAGUGAUCGAAAGAUGAAAAGCACUUUGAAAAUAGAGUCAAAAAGUACGUGAAAUUGUUGAAAGGGAAGCGCUUGAGACCAGACUCAGGCCCGGGCAAACACCGCGCCCCCCGGGGCCGUGCAAUUGCCUGGGGCUGGGCCAGCAUCAGUCGGCGUGGCGGGACAAAGGCGCGGGGAAUGUGGCUCCCCUCGGGGAGUGUUAUCAGCCCCGCGCUCAAUGCCGCCGACGUCGACUGAGGACCGCGCCUCGGCUAGGAUGCUGGCUUAAUGGCCUUCAGCGACCCGUCUUGAAACACGGACCAAGGAGUCUAACAUCUAUGCGAGUGUUUGGGCGCCAAACCCUUGCGCGGAAUGAAAGUGAACGGAGGUGGGAACCCCCCAGCGGGGCGCACCAUCGACCGAUCCUGAUGUCUUCGGAUGGAUUUGAGUAGGAGCAU
rnacentral:rRNA from 1 species